AGAAAAGUAUUUAAAUAUAUAAAAUCUAACUUGCAAUUAGAAAUUGAUCUUUCCUUUUCUA
rnacentral:tRNA from 2 species